GAUACAGUUAUUACUAAGAAGCCUUAUCGCUGACAUUUCGAAUACCUUAUCAAUACAGAACUGACUUAUAUUUAGGUCAUUUUAUUCAAUGGAGUUUCUGACAAUAAUUAUAGACGAUCCACCAUGUGAGAGGGGAGGUGACCUGCAGUACGAUGGUGCCAGUGUGAAACCUCUUGGAAUGUACAGUGGUACCUCUUCUUGGUCUAGCCAGUGUUCAUUUAUACACAGAAUAUCAGUGGACUUCUCAAUUACCGAGUUGAUAUUGACAGAUUAGCAACACAUUCUCUACAGAAUCUCAAAGUUAAGUGAGAUAGUGCAUUUUGGCGCGUCCGCUACAGACAGAAGUUUGCCACAUCCUUGAGACUCAACUGCAUUUUGUCACGUACAGCAAAGUGCAUUCAGAGAUAACAAAAUAUCAAAUCUCUCACACCUUACCAAAACUCAUCCUCUGUUAGAUUCUGCUUAGUUCGAGUGUGCAGUGCAGAUUACACCAUAAUCACUCCAGUCUUCGAGGAGGAAAGACGUGUGAAGGACAAGUAGUACGCCUGAGAGUUGGAGUCUAAUCGGAGAGACACCUAUAGCUGACAGCAUCACACUGUUGGAUCACAUGUAAGUAUGAUGGAAUUUUCACGUGAUCAUGAUUUUUCAGGACUUACUUUUUUCCUGAUAGAUCAAUACUACAAUGCACU